rnacentral:rRNA from 1 species
UACGUAGGGGGCAAGCGUUGUCCGGAAUCAUUGGGCGUAAAGAGCGUGUAGGCGGCCCGGUAAGUCCGCCGUGAAAGUCCAGGGCUCAACCCUGGAAUGCCGGUGGAAACUGCCGGGCUGGAGUCCGGAAGAGGCGAGUGGAAUUCCUGGUGUAGCGGUGAAAUGCGUAGAGAUCAUGAGGAAGACCAGUGGCGAAGGCGGGUCUCUGGACAGUUCCUGACGCUGAGGCACGAAGGCCAGGGGAGCAAACGGG